rnacentral:rRNA from 1 species
AUUGAACGCUGGCGGCAUGCCUUACACAUGCAAGUCGAGCGGUUGCAGGGCUUCGGGUCCUGACGUGUGGCGAGCGGGGGUGUGAUACAUCGGAAAGUGCCCGAUCGUGGGGGGUAACACGUCGAAAGCUUUGCUCAUAUCCCAUACGCUCUCCGGGUGAGAACAGGGGGGAGCAUGGCAUCUCGCGGUAUGAGCGGCGGAUGGCAGAUUAGGUAGUUGGUGGGGUAAAAGCUUACCAAGACGACGAUAUGUAGCUGGUCUGAGAGGAUGAUCAGCCACACUGGGACUGAGACACGGCCCAGACUCCUACGGGAGGCAGCAGUGGGGAAUUUUGGACAAUGGGCGCAAGCCUGAUCCAGCCAUGCCGCGUGCAUGAAGAAGGUCUUCGGAUUGUAAACCGCUUUUGUACGGAACGAAAAGCCGUCUGUUAAUACAGGGCGGUCUUGACGUUACCGUAAGAAUAAGCACCGGCUAACUACGUG